rnacentral:rRNA from 1 species
AUCAUAGCGAGAAGACUACAGGAUUCCCCUAGUAACGGCGAGUGAAGCGGGAAGAGCUCAAAUUUGUAAUCUGGCAGCCUCUGGCUGUCCGAGUUGUAGUCUGGAGAAGCAUUUUCCGUGCCAGACCAUGUACAAGUCCCUUGGAACAGGGCGUCGUAGAGGGUGAGAAUCCCGUCUUUGACAUGGACUACUGGUGCUCUGUGAUGUGCUCUCGAAGAGUCGAGUUGUUUGGGAAUGCAGCUCAAAAUGGGUGGUAAAUUCCAUCUAAAGCUAAAUAUGGGCAAAAGACCGAUAGUGAACAAGUACCGUGAGGGAAAGAUGAAAAGCACUUUGGAAAGAGAGUUAAACAGUAUGUGAAAUUGUUGAAAGGGAAACAUUUCAAGUCAGUCACGUCUUCUGAGACUCAGCCAGGUAAUUAACCURGUGCACUUCUCAGUGUGACGGGCCAGCAUCAAUUUCAAUUGUCAGAGAAAGGCUUGGGGAAGGUGGCACCUUUGGGUGUGUUAUAGCCCCUUGCUGUAUGUGAUAGUUGGGAUUGAGGACCGCAGCAUGCCUUCACAGGCCGGGGUUCGCCCACGUAACAUGCUUAGGAUGCUGGCGUAAUGGCUUCAAGUGACCCGUCUUGAAACACGGACCAAGGAGUCUAACAUGCCUGCGAGUGUUUGGGUGGUAAACCCGGACGCGCAAUGAAAGUGACAAGGUUGGGACCUCUGUUGUGGAGGGCACCGAUGCCCGGACUAGACCUUUUGUGACAGUUCCGAGGUAGAGCAUGUAUGUUGGGACCCGAAAGAUGGUGAACUAUGCUUGAGUAGGGUGAAGCCAGAGGAAACUCUGGUGGAGGCUCGUAGCGAUUCUGACGUGCAAAUCGAUCGUCAAACUUGGGUAUAGGGCGAAAGACUAAUC